rnacentral:lncRNA from 1 species
GAGUGGAGGAGGGAGGGAGGGACUAAACAAGAGGGGAGAGAAAGAGAGGGGAAGAGGGAGAGAAAGACAGGGCAAAACAGUUUGAAAAAGAGAGAGGGGAGGAACAGAUGGGGGAGACUGAACCAUAGAAGUGAGAGAGAGGGGAGAAGGGGGAGCCUCAUUCAGAGCAGCUAGUGUGCAGAGCAGGGAAGAACUUACUUGGUGUGGGAAAGUAAAUAGUGCAGGAUAUUUCCAGUCUACUCUGCCUGAGGCUGGAGCCCUAGCAGCUUCAAAAGCAGACAGGGUGAUAAGUAUGAGGAACCUGUCAGUAUAGAAGCAGGACGUUCAUGGGAAGUAACCUUAAAAGCCCAAAGGGAGUAACUGAAGCUUGUUAGUGGAACUACUGAGGACCAGAAGACAAUACACAGCUGAGGCCUUCCCACUCCUGGAAGCCCUAGGGAAUGGUGUUACAGCUGUUUGAAAAGACUGCCUGAAAUUUCAGCCUGUUUUGGU